rnacentral:rRNA from 1 species
GCCCCGGUAAACGGCGGCCGUAACUAUAACGGUCCUAAGGUAGCGAAAUUCCUUGUCGGGUAAGUUCCGACCUGCACGAAUGGCGUAAUGAUGGCCAGGCUGUCUCCACCCGAGACUCAGUGAAAUUGAACUCGCUGUGAAGAUGCAGUGUACCCGCGGCAAGACGGAAAGACCCCGUGAACCUUUACUAUAGCUUGACACUGAACACUGGUCCUUGAUGUGUAGGAUAGGUGGGAGGCUUUGAAGCGUGGACGCCAGUCUGCGUGGAGCCGCCCUUGAAAUACCACCCUUUAAUGGCUGGUGUUCUAACGUAGACCCGUGAUCCGGGUUGCGGACAGUGUCUGGUGGGUAGUUUGACUGGGGCGGUCUCCUCCCAAAGAGUAACGGAGGAGCACGAAGGUUAGCUAAUCCUGGUCGGACAUCAGGAGGUUAGUGCAAUGGCAUAAGCUAGCUUGACUGCGAGAGUGACGGCUCGAGCAGGUGCGAAAGCAGGUCAUAGUGAUCCGGUGGUUCUGAAUGGAAGGGCCAUCGCUCAACGGAUAAAAGGUACUCCGGGGAUAACAGGCUGAUACCGCCCAAGAGUUCAUAUCGACGGCGGUGUUUGGCACCUCGAUGUCGGCUCAUCACAUCCUGGGGCUGAAGUAGGUCCCAAGGGUAUGGCUGUUCGCCAUUUAAAGUGGUACGCGAGCUGGGUUUAGAACGUCGUGAGACAGUUCGGUCCCUAUCUGCCGUGGGCGCUGGAGAAUUGAGGGGGGCUGCUCCUAGUACGAGAGGACCGGAGUGGACGCAUCACUGGUGUUCGGGUUGUCAUGCCAAUGGCACUGCCCGGUAGCUAAAUGCGGAAGAGAUAAGUGCUGAAAGCAUCUAAGCACGAAACUUGCCCCG